rnacentral:rRNA from 1 species
GAAUUUAAGCAUAUAAUUAAGCGGAGGAAAAGAAACUAACCAGGAUUGGCUCAGUAACGGCGAGUGAAGCGCCAAUAGCCCAGCUUGUGAAUCGACACUCGUGUCGAAUUGUGGUCUGCAGGUCAUCUUGUUAAGCAUGCGGAUGAAGUCCUCUGGAACGGGGCAGCAAAGAGGGUGAUACUCCCUUGCGUCUGUGAGCGUGAAAGGUGAACCUACGAGUCGAGUUGUUUGGGAUUGCAGCUCUAAGUGGGUGGUAAAUUCCAUCUAAGGCUAAAUACUGGUGAGAGACCGAUAGCGCACAAGUACCGUGAGGGAAAGAUGCAAAGUCGCGCGAGAGCGCUGUCAAAGAGUACCUGAAAUUGCUGAAAGGGAAGCGAAGGAAACCAGUGUUAGUCACCCCGCAUUUCCUCAUCUGCUUGCGGUUGAGGCGCUGCGGCUGGCGUUGUCCCCAUUGGCGGUGGCCUGCGGAAGAGUCUUUGACUGGCGCAACCUGCUGCUGAUGGUGGACGAAAUGGUUUUCUUCUCCCCGUCUUGAAACACGGACCAAGGAGUCUAACAUUUGUGCGAGUACCGGGGUUUCAAACUCCCGUGCGUAAUUAACGUGACAGUGGCUGGAACUUUUGUUGCACAGUCUGCCGGCCCCAAUCCUUCGGGAGAAUGGUCUGAGUGUGAGCACAAAUGUUGGGACCCGAAAGAUGGUGAACUAUGCCUGAAUAGGGCGAAGCCAGGGGAAACUCUGGUGGAGGCUCGUAGCGAUUCUGACGUGCAAAUCGAUCGUCGAAUUCGGG